GACGAACGCUUGCGGCGUGCUUAACACAUGCAAGUCGAACGGAAAGGCCCUGCUUUUGUGGGGUGCUCGAGUGGCGAACGGGUGAGUAACACGUGAGUAACCUGCCCUUGACUUUGGGAUAACUUCAGGAAACUGGGGCUAAUACCGGAUAGGAGCUCCUGCUGCAUGGUGGGGGUUGGAAAGUUUCGGCGGUUGGGGAUGGACUCGCGGCUUAUCAGCUUGUUGGUGGGGUAGUGGCUUACCAAGGCUUUGACGGGUAGCCGGCCUGAGAGGGUGACCGGCCACAUUGGGACUGAGAUACGGCCCAGACUCCUACGGGAGGCAGCAGUGGGGAAUAUUGCACAAUGGGCGGAAGCCUGAUGCAGCAACGCCGCGUGCGGGAUGACGGCCUUCGGGUUGUAAACCGCUUUCGCCUGUGACGAAGCGUGAGUGACGGUAAUGGGUAAAGAAGCACCGGCUAACUACGUGCCAGCAGCCGCGGUGAUACGUAGGGUGCGAGCGUUGUCCGGAUUUAUUGGGCGUAAAGGGCUCGUAGGUGGUUGAUCGCGUCGGAAGUGUAAUCUUGGGGCUUAACCCUGAGCGUGCUUUCGAUACGGGUUGACUUGAGGAAGGUAGGGGAGAAUGGAAUUCCUGGUGGAGCGGUGGAAUGCGCAGAUAUCAGGAGGAACACCAGUGGCGAAGGCGGUUCUCUGGGCCUUUCCUGACGCUGAGGAGCGAAAGCGUGGGGAGCGAACAGGCUUAGAUACCCUGGUAGUCCACGCUGUAAACGGUGGGUACUAGGUGUGGGGUCCAUUCCACGGGUUCCGUGCCGUAGCUAACGCUUUAAGUACCCCGCCUGGGGAGUACGGCCGCAAGGCUAAAACUCAAAGGAAUUGACGGGGCCCCGCACAAGCGGCGGAGCAUGCGGAUUAAUUCGAUGCAACGCGUAGAACCUUACCUGGGUUUGACAUGGAUCGGGAGUGCUCAGAGAUGGGUGUGCCUCUUUUGGGGUCGGUUCACAGGUGGUGCAUGGCUGUCGUCAACUCGUGUCGUGAGAUGUUGGGUUAAGUCCCGCAACGAGCGCAACCCUUGUUCACUGUUGCCAGCACGUUAUGGUGGGGACUCAGUGGAGACCGCCGGGGUCAACUCGGAGGAAGGUGGGGAUGACGUCAAGUCAUCAUGCCCCUUAUGUCCAGGGCUUCACGCAUGCUACAAUGGCUGGUACAGAGAGUGGCGAGCCUGUGAGGGUGAGCGAAUCUCGGAAAGCCGGUCUCAGUUCGGAUUGGGGUCUGCAACUCGACCUCAUGAAGUCGGAGUCGCUAGUAAUCGCAGAUCAGCAACGCUGCGGUGAAUACGUUCCCGGGGCU
rnacentral:rRNA from 1 species